rnacentral:rRNA from 1 species
UGCGCAGGCGGUUGUGCAAGACAGGUGUGAAAUCCCCGGGCUUAACCUGGGAACUGCACUUGUGACUGCACGGCUGGAGUACGGCAGAGGGGGAUGGAAUUCCGCGUGUAGCAGUGAAAUGCGUAGAUAUGCGGAGGAACACCGAUGGCGAAGGCAGUCCCCUGGGCCUGUACUGACGCUCAUGCACGAAAGCGUGGGGAGCAAACAGGAUUAGAUACCCUGGUAGUCCACGCCCUAAACGAUGUCAACUGGUUGUUGGGAAGGUUUCUUCUCAGUAACGUAGCUAACGCGUGAAGUUGACCGCCUGGGGAGUACGGCCGCAAGGUUGAA